GCGGCUCGGCGGGACGCGCGCGCGGGACAAUGCGGCCAUGUGGCCGCCACCGCGGACGGGCCCACGCGGGGGGCCUGCCGGUGCCGCGGGGCGAGCUCAGGGCGCACAGGCGGAGGCUCCCGGGUGUUCUCUCCCUGCGUGAGCCCGGGAGGAGCGCGAGCGCCCGGGCCCCGGGGUGCCAUGCGUGAAAGGAGGGGGCAGGUCGUACCUGCCCCGGCCACCUCGUGGGUUCGGAGAAUUAACUGUGACAGUAGAUGCGAGCGCGCUCGGGAAUCAGUGGGCAGUGCCGCAAACGCCUUUACUUUUGAGCACGGGAAGGUGUUCCCUUCUUGCUCACCUGGAGCUGUCUUGGAGAAGAGGUGCUGAUUAUUUCCUCGGGGAAAUGAGGCUUAGAAGGCGCUCAGAGUGGUUAUUUCGUCAGGAUGUUUGUGUCUGCUUCCCUGAGUCCGGGGUGUGCGUGAGACAGAGAGAGGGAAAGAGAUGGGGCAGAGGCGGUGGCAAGUCCUCUGGAGAGCCACCGCCUAGUACUCUAGUGAAUUCUUGUCUUUUUCAACCUGGUUUGUGGGCUCCUGUCCCACUCAUCUGUGGAUGAGGAGGGGGUGCCCGGAGGAAGGAGGUUCUCCGUGGAGAGGGUCCUGGCCGGGAAUGGCCUUGCGCAGGGCCUAUAAAGGCCAGGGCAGACAGGGAAAGGACUCCCAGGGCCUCCGCGUUUACAUGUUGCCAACACCACAGGCUUUUUUGCUGGCCUCUCAGCUCCGUUUCCAGGAAUUUAAUAACCUCCCGAUUGGGCCAAGUGGGGUUUCCUUUUUCAAACAACACCAUGAAAAGUAAAGUUGUUCCUCAGCGUCCACUGCUAGUGAGGCCCGCACACAGGUAAAUGGGGGCUCCCCCACCCAGGGUUGCUCCUGCAGGGGGACAGGCCUGCACACAUCCUGCCUUCCUACCUGCAGUGUUAAGAUUUCAGAUCUGCACCCGGCCGUAACUGCAGGUGUUCCAUGAAGUCACACAUCUGAGCCCACUUGGAGGAUCAGCUCAAACUCCGACCCGACGGAUGCAUGGAGAGCUGCCUGUGGUCAGGUGCAGCCCGGGCCGCCCUCCGUAGACCAGAGUGCUUCAGGAACACCUGUGCAAAGAUCGGGUGGUUUUCUGAAGACGCCCACAAAAUCGAAGGGCCUCCUGAGAGUCUAGGAGGGUGAUGUUUGACAGACCCGACCCCCCAGCCGAGCUCAGCUUCAGCACGCUGGUCUCUGAGAAGAGGCUAGUAUCCAGCGUCCCACCUGCCUUCGGGGGGUUGUUUGAGCCGAUGGAUAAUGACGGUGAAAGCAUCACCGUGACAAGUCGAGAUGCCAAUCAGUUGAAACGCCGCUGUGACCGUCUCACAACUAACUCCGAAUGACUAGCCAGCUUAGCUUCAUGCUAAAAUGAUUUCUUCCCUGCGCAUUUCAGUUCAAAAGAUAAAAAUUAUGUCAGCAGAGCUAUUAAAAUUGUAGCUAAUAAUAGAAUCGUUUUUGUUAUGCUGAUAAAGCAAAUCUACAGCUUUAUUUAAAUUCCACAGCUGUCAUUGUAGUAAAACGUAUACUCGAGGAUACGGAGAUUCAUGGGCUCUAACAAGCAAAGAAACACAAAUGCGAGAAUGCCUUUCGGGAGGCGUGAGCACCAACCUAACAGAAGAAGUAACACGGAGGCCAUGAUGUAAAUUCCACGACUCCGAAGAAAAGAAAGAAGAUGGGGUCUCCAAGCAGGAACGUGUUAAGAAGCAUCGUUAAGUGGAAAGCGUGAAACCAAACACGACAAAGCAUACAAAAAGUAUAUAACAACCAAAUAAAACAAAUACCGACAGGUCAGAAGGAAGAGAGACAAGGAGGCUGCUCGGCCCGCUGCAAAGAGAUGGGGAGGGGUUCUCAGGGAGAACUUGACCUUGCCGAGGCCCUGGCCAUGGUCUCCGGGGCGGGACUGGCCGGUGUGAGGCGGGCCAGUGGUGACCUUGGGGGGCACACAGAUGGGUCUGUUUUAACUAUUAUAGGUUCAUCUUAAUUGCGUUACAAAAUCAUAUUUAGUAUAUGAAACCUUGGAAUUCAGUGAUCAAGGCAAGGAGAAGCGGAAGUUGGUAUGUAUGUUUUGAAAGGAAGUCAAUCUGAGCAAAACUGUUAGGUGAAUAACAUUACAGUUGGUGCUCAGAUGUGGUAAACUGUACAAUGCAGAGGUUAUGUGAGUGAAUGAGACUGGAGACAAACGACGGAUGGGAAGAUGUUCUAAUUAGGCUAAUUCUUUAAGGAUUAAUUUAUCGUUAGAAUUAAAUUUUUUUUUAAUUUUUUUAAGUGUUUAUUUAUUUUUGACAGAG